GAUGAACGCUGGCGGCGUGCCUAAUACAUGCAAGUCGAGCGAACGGACGAGAAGCUUGCUUCUCUGAUGUUAGCGGCGGACGGGUGAGUAACACGUGGAUAACCUACCUAUAAGACUGGGAUAACUUCGGGAAACCGGAGCUAAUACCGGAUAAUAUUUUGAUCUGCAUGGUUCAAAAGUAAAAGACGGUCUUGCUGUCACUUAUAGAUGGAUCCGCGCUGCAUUAGCUAGUUGGUAAGGUAACGGCUUACCAAGGCAACGAUGCAUAGCCGACCUGAGAGGGUGAUCGGCCACACUGGAACUGAGACACGGUCCAGACUCCUACGGGAGGCAGCAGUAGGGAAUCUUCCGCAAUGGGCGAAAGCCUGACGGAGCAACGCCGCGUGAGUGAUGAAGGUCUUCGGAUCGUAAAACUCUGUUAUUAGGGAAGAACAUAUGUGUAAGUAACUGUGCGCAUCUUGACGGUACCUAAUCAGAAAGCCACGGCUAACUACGUGCCAGCAGCCGCGGUAAUACGUAGGUGGCAAGCGUUAUCCGGAAUUAUUGGGCGUAAAGCGCGCGUAGGCGGCUUUUUAAGUCUGAUGUGAAAGCCCACGGCUCAACCGUGGAGGGUCAUUGGAAACUGGAAAACUUGAGUGCAGAAGAGGAAAGUGGAAUUCCAUGUGUAGCGGUGAAAUGCGCAGAGAUAUGGAGGAACACCAGUGGCGAAGGCGACUUUCUGGUCUGUAACUGACGCUGAUGUGCGAAAGCGUGGGGAUCAAACAGGAUUAGAUACCCUGGUAGUCCACGCCGUAAACGAUGAGUGCUAAGUGUUAGGGGGUUUCCGCCCCUUAGUGCUGCAGCUAACGCAUUAAGCACUCCGCCUGGGGAGUACGACCGCAAGGUUGAAACUCAAAGGAAUUGACGGGGACCCGCACAAGCGGUGGAGCAUGUGGUUUAAUUCGAAGCAACGCGAAGAACCUUACCAAAUCUUGACAUCCUUUGACAACUCUAGAGAUAGAGCCUUCCCCUUCGGGGGACAAAGUGACAGGUGGUGCAUGGUUGUCGUCAGCUCGUGUCGUGAGAUGUUGGGUUAAGUCCCGCAACGAGCGCAACCCUUAAGCUUAGUUGCCAUCAUUAAGUUGGGCACUCUAAGUUGACUGCCGGUGACAAACCGGAGGAAGGUGGGGAUGACGUCAAAUCAUCGUGCCCCUUAUGAUUUGGGCUACACACGUGCUACAAUGGACAAUACAAAGGGCAGCGAAACCGCGAGGUCAAGCAAAUCCCAUAAAGUUGUUCUCAGUUCGGAUUGUAGUCUGCAACUCGACUACACGAAGCUGGAAUCGCUAGUAAUCGUAGAUCAGCAUGCUACGGUGAAUACGUUCCCGGGUCU
rnacentral:rRNA from 1 species